UGGUAGCUUUAAAAUGAGAAUUGAUUUUAUUUUAGUUAUAAAGUAGAACAUAGUAUGUUUUCUGUGUUCCAGCGGUGCGAGGUGUUUCCUUACACUACUUAUACUAAGUAUUAUAUUAAUAGAAAAUAAAAAACAAUAUAUUUGGUGGUCUAUACUUGACAAUACAUUUUCAAAAUAAGAUACUGCGUUUAGUUACUAUCGAAAUCUUUAUUUAUUAAUGUUUCUACUACAAACUAAGGAAAGUAUAUAAUAUAUUUUUACUAUUAAAACACACAUUACGGUACAACAAAAAUCUACAGAAAUAAAUCAAACAAAAUUAUUCAAAAGUUGGUGGUGUAACGUCCUCUUACACAACUCAGUAAAAUGUAUACAUCAAUAAUUGGAGAAUGUAACGAGACUAUAUCAUCAGAUGGCGAGGAAAUAUAUUUAGGCGUUUCCUAUGAAACUGGAAAACACUACUUUAGUGACGUAGCAAACUGCACAAAACAUGGAAUAUCAAAAGGGGAAGCCAGCCAGAUAAUUGAUCGGAUGUGGCCUGAACCUAUGUCGAGAGAGCAAUUUAAAAAAUCAAUUGAAUUUAAACUUACUUAUAAGCAACUAGAAAAUAUUUAUGAUGAGGUACUUGGUACUGAGAAAAUAAACAGAUACGUUAUUUUCAUUGUUACAAGCCAUUAUGUUACCAAGAAUAGAGUUAAAGCCUAUUUACUGAGCCAACAACACCAAUACGGACUAAAUGAAAAGGAAGUCAAAGAGAUAAUUAAACCCUUAAAGAAUAAUCAUAUGUCCUGGAAGGAAUUUAGAACAUUAAUUAUUGUUGGAAAAUAAUGUAUACGCUACCAGCCGGUGGUGCAUUUGUUUAAUUGCAGCCCCUAAGCAAAGCUAGAAGAUUACUUCAAUAUCCUUGGGUCAUUCAAUUUAUUCAAAAAAUCAAACUAAUUUAUGAUUUAUAUUGUCUAUUAAAAAAAAAAAUCAUUGUGGUAUGCUAUUAGCUUAUUUUUUUAAUUGUAUGUAUUAAUAACUAUUAAUGGGUGUGUGGGUUUUUUUUGUUUUCAUC